AUACGUAGGGAGCGAGCGUUGUCCGGAAUUACUGGGCGUAAAGGGCGCGUAGGCGGCGCUUCAAGUCGUCUGUCAAAUGGGAGGGCUUAACCCUUUUUCGCAGACGAAACUGGAGAGCUUGAGAAGCAGAGAGGCAAACAGAAUUCCUGGUGUAGCGGUGAAAUGCGUAGAUAUCAGGAAGAAUACCAGUGGCGAAGGCGGUUUGCUGGCUGCAUACUGACGCUGAAGCGCGAAAGCCAGGGGAGCGAACGGGAUUAGAUACCCUGGUAGUCCACGCCCUAAACUAUGUCAACUGGGUGUUCGGGAAGCGAUUUCUGAGUACCGUAGCUAACGCGUGAAGUUGACCGCCUGGGGAGUACGGCCGCAAGGUUAAAACUUAAAGGAAUUGACGGGG
rnacentral:rRNA from 1 species